GGUCAAGGUGAGUUCCUCUUCAAGGGGCUAACUACUGCCCUUCUCAGGAACACGGCAACUUGGAAGAAAAGCUGCAUGCCUCAGGUCUUUGUGGAGCAAGCGAUGCUUAUUUCCUUUGGCUGCCUACAGGU
ensembl:snoRNA LOC120097975 small nucleolar RNA SNORA67